AUUUGCAAUUAUUUUAUAUCGCUGUCCCGGUAUAAAAGUCGUCAUUAAUUUGCAACAGUACUUACAUAUUUCAGCAAACUUCGAAAACAAGGAAAAAAAAAGACACGUCGAACGUGGCGAUUUCAGUUUUCAAGAAUUACUUUAUAUCGCUGUUUCAAUAUAAAAGUCCUCGUUAAUUUGCGACAGCUCUUGCGUAUUCCAGUAACUUGAAAAGCAAAAAUACACGUUAAACGUCGUGAUUCCAGUUUCUAAGAAUUAUUUUAUAUCGCUGUUUCGGUAUAAAAGCCGUCGUUAAUUUUACUAGCGGCAUUUGCGUAUCUCGGUAAUUACAAAAAUAGAAAAUACGUUAAACAUCGUGAUUCCAGUUUCUAAAAAUAUUUGACUAAUAUGGAGAUAGCAAGAGCUGCGAGAUCUCGGAUGAACUGGCUGUGUGUGCAACGUGUCAUUAGGUGAUUUAAGUCGAUGAUAGAAACUACAACAGAAACAUUUCAAACAUAAGAACCUCGACGCACCAAGAGCGUAAUUUCUCGAUUAAUUUGUCGAAAAGAAAGGGCAAGAUGCAUCCUUUUGGGGUUGUUUUACCAGCAACCUAAAGCGUCGAACACGCAUGCAGCCACCUCGUUCGAGAUUUCACAGUUCUUGCCAUCUGCUGCAAACGUUUGAAGAACAUACGAUAUCCAAUGUGCAUCGAUCAAUUAACGUACACGAGGAGCACCAUAAAUACACAUAAAGGUACGAGAAACGCGAAAAGUACCACGUACUAAACGGCGUAUACCUACCAUUCGAACAUUCUAUAACAAGAGGUACCUUUGGAAAGUAUGUAAAAAUGGUUCGAUCAGCAUGGGUAACCGUGGAGAAGGAGGAAAAGAAGGAAAAAGAGAGAAUGAAAAAAAGGAUUGCCGCUGCACCCGGAUUCUCUAUCCGUGUCAGUGAAGACGAAACGUCGUAGCGCGACUCUCUCUCUUGUGAAAAUCUAUGGCAGCUUUCAUACCGAUUACAAUGGCUUCCGUUCAAACGCGUCUAUAUCGAUCGUGAAAUCCAGGCGGCCGUAAUGAGCGAAACAUGUUUACAAUUAUUAUUUGGUCGCGUUCGCUGCCUUGCGUUCCGCGGCGUGAAAUCACGGCAGCCACCAACUCCAUCGACUCUAAAAUCUCUAAAACGUCAGGCGAAAUUUGGCGACACGCCUGAAAAUUUUCGUUCGUCCCGUAUCGACGUAGAACGUGUGAUUCGUUUUAUCCUUCCGCUUUAGUUGAAAACUACUAGCGAAAGUCGCGCGGAAAACAAUGCACGGAGUUUUUUAAUUUAAAUUGCCCCGUUUUCCACCAGGGAGAUUAAAUUUAAGUUCGUUUACCGGGCGUAGCUUACCGGUUAAAUUAAAUACGUUGCCUGAUUGUGAAUUAGAUAUUCCGAGGUUAUUUUAAUUUCAUCGAAUUUUGAGCUUCCAACUUCCCGCUUUUCGCAUCAAUAACGUAUUAUGUUUAUGUGUGUGUGCUUUCUAACAAUAGCAACAAUAAAUACGUAAAAUUGGUCAAUUAAUACUUGUUACACUUUGCUUUAUGUACAACGUACUAUUUAGUUAUGUAAAUCUUAUAAUGGAUACAAUGUGUUAAGACUUUUUCUAGUCAUUGUUACGUAUUUGAAGUAUGAAUUUGUUCGGAGAGUGAAAACGAAGAGAAAAAGCUUCUCUGACUAUAAAAUUAUUUUCAAAAUUUCAUUUGUUUUCAUUAUUAUAUGAUAUAGUCAAAGUUCAUCGGAACAAGAAUUGUAUUUGUAGAAAAGUCUGUACGUGCUACCUAUUGGUUGUUGAGAAAACCGAACGUGCCAUUCGUUUAAAUUUGCAAGCAUUAUAUGUAAAUAUAAAAAUAAAACAUAUAUUUGUCCAAGAUGUUUCUUUUUUUUUUUAUUAGCAAAGUAUAUUUUGUAAUUCUGCGACUAAGAAUUGUUAUAAAAUUCCUACCGAUAUUUAAUAUGCACGAGUUCCAGCUUAAUGGAACUUACGCUGUUUUAUACAAAGAUGUUGAACGUACCGAUGGUAUUACCUUUUUAACGCUACCAGUAAUUACUUACAAAUAGGAAUUGCUCUUAAAUUCUAUACUACGGUAUUCUCCUAGGCACGCAGUACAUUAAAAUAAAAGAAACAGCAUUUUUUAAUAUUUGCACUUACAGCGUUCGUCCGACAUAUUCCUCGUAAUGACAACCAGAAAUAUUCGCAGUCGCCGUAACCUACAAUAAAAUGGCAAAUGCUAAAUACAAAGAACGAGUAUCUCCACGUACAUUAUCAUAACUGGAAAAAUAAAGCUGAAACGAGGUUUUCGUACUUAUACAUUGUCUUUAUGUUUAGAAUCACACCUUCUAAAUAUCUGCUACUUUUUUUGUAACACCCUGUA